UGCUGUGGGAGCCCAAACUGCAAACUG
rnacentral:piRNA from 1 species